UACGAAGGGGGCUAGCGUUGCUCGGAAUGACUGGGCGUAAAGGGCGCGUAGGCGGUUCUGACAGUCAGGCGUGAAAUUCCCGGGCUCAACCUGGGGGCUGCACUUGAUACGUAGGAACUGGAGUGGGGAAGAGGGUCGUGGAAUUCCCAGUGUAGAGGUGAAAUUCGUAGAUAUUGGGAAGAACACCGGUGGCGAAGGCGGCGACCUGGUCCUUGACUGACGCUGAGGCGCGAAAGCGUGGGGAGCAAACAGG
rnacentral:rRNA from 1 species